rnacentral:rRNA from 1 species
CCUACGGGAGGCAGCAGUGGGGAAUAUUGGACAAUGGGCAAAAGCCUGAUCCAGCCAUGCCGCGUGUGUGAAGAAGGUCUUCGGAUUGUAAAGCACUUUAAGUUGGGAGGAAGGGCAUUAACCUAAUACGUUAGUGUUUUGACGUUACCGACAGAAUAAGCACCGGCUAACUCUGUGCCAGCAGCCGCGGUAAU